ACCCUGACAAUCAGUAUCAAUAAAACUCAGAAAUUGUUGAUUUUGAUCUAUAUCAUUCUUUGAUAUACCUAUAUCCAGGAGAACUGGUGGAACUAGUAUAAGAGACUCAUAUUCAUGCUGAAAAAUGGGAAGUGAUGAAGAGCUAACAGUGGGAGCUGAAAUAGAUUUAAGUUUUUGAAAACUUUUGAUUAAGCAAGGAGGGCUCUUGUGUUUCCAAUAGUUGGAUGUACUUAUUUGAAGUAGAAGGUUAGACAAGAUAAUCCAGAGUUGGUGAUUAGAGAAUUGGGAGCAACGGAAAAUAAAUCUAUCACAAAGAUAUUGGCGUCGUAAAUGGAGCGGAGGCUCACAACACUCAACUUGCAUAGCAUUGAUAGGGCUUGAUUUCAUGGCACCACAAAUUAUUCUCAAGGCUUUAGAUUGAAUAUGAUCUAGUUUUUGGAAGCCAACGACAUAUCCAGGCUCUAACAAAAAUGUCCCAUAAUCUAAAAUGCUUCUUAUUAAGGCAUUGUACAUUAGUUUCAUACAAAAAGGAUGGGAACCCCACCAAACUCCAGAAACACACCUAAGGAUAUUAAUAUUUUUUUCACAUUUAGAAACUAUGUACUCACAAUGUGGGAGACCUGUUAAUUUACUAUCUAAAAUUACACCAAGGAAUUUAGUUUUAUCUUUUACUGAAAUGGAGUAGUUAUCAAAUUGCACUUUGAUUGGAGGAGGAAAUAGUUUUCUAGUAAAUAAAACUACAACACUUUUAGGAACAGAAAGUUCUAAACCAUUAGAAUCUAACCAUGACCUCAAGAAACAUAAGGAACAAGUGACUGAUCUACUAGCCUGUUCAGGAGAAAGAUUUGAUGAAUAAAGUAAUAAAUCAUCGGCAUACUGUAAGACCCUAACAGUACCAUUUAGAGAUGACUCUAAAUCAGAUGUAUAGAUAUUGUAUAAUAAUGGACUUAAUACAGACCCUUGUGGUAGUCCUCUCCACACUAAACGAGAAAUUCUAUUGUUGUCAUUUAUAAGACUGAUGGACCGUUCAGAUAAAAGGUUUAUUACAAAAUGACUUAACAUUUGUGGAAUGCCUAACUUGAAAAGCUUUUCCUGUAACACUGAAACUAAUACAUUAUCAUAAGCAGCACUUAUAUCCAGAAAAGCAGCUACUACUGACUCAUUUUUAGAAAAUGCCAGUCGUAUAUCUGCAAUUAAUAUUGACAAACUAUCAUAAGUAGAUCUACCUUUUCGGAAUCCAAACUGACUAUGAGAUAAUAAAUGGUUCUUUUCAACAAAAAAUUCUAGCCUGUUUUUAAUUAAGUGUUCAGCUACUUUUGCAAAUACUGAGGAAAGGGCAAUAGGGCGAUAGGAAGAAACAUCUGAUGCUGGUUUAUUGGGUUUUAAAAUAGGAAUAACUAUCUGGGAUCUCCAUGAAUCUGGGACUAUACCGGACUGGAUAACCGAAUUUAUUAUGCUCAGAUAAUAAGAAAUACAUCAUCAGCUGCUUCUGUGAUCACCCGGGCCAAAGCAACCGAGCAACCAACUACGUCAGUAUCAUCUAAACUAGGCAAAAACAAUAAUUUCUUCUCUACACAGCAUUUAAAGUUUUUCCAGUCAGCAUUACAUAGAUUGUAUUUAAGCCUAGGGCUAGGUUUCGGAGAUGGUCGUGUAGAUGAAGGAAAUGAGACUAUAAUUGGAAAAUGAUCACUACCAAAUGUAGAAUCUAGAGUUUGCCAGGUGAAAGAAGAUGCCAGUUCAGCAGAGCAAAUGGAUAGAUCAACAGCGCUGGGUGAUUCUGUAGGCGCUGUACGGCGAGUUGGAGAGCCAGUAUUCAGGACACAAAGAUUGUGAUCAUCUAAGAUUUUUAAAACACGAUGUCCAUUAUAAUUGGAUACUGAACUGCCCCAAAACUGAUGGUGUGAAUUGAAAUCUCCUAGAAUCAACAAGGGCCUAGGUAGAGAGGAAAUUAUUUGUUCUAAUUCAUUAAAAAUAGAAGAUGAUUGAUGAGGAAUAUAUACAGAGAGGAUGCAGAUGUUAUUUACAAUGGCAGCAAUAAUUGAAAAAUCAUCACUAUGAGAUGGGAGAUGAAGAGAUGAAAAUGAUUCAGAAUUCCUGACGAGUAAAGCUACUCCACCCCACCCGUCAGGACGGUCCUCUCUGAGGCAUGAAUAGCCAGUAGCUCUUAGAAGAGCUCCAGGCUUGAGCCAUGUCUCAGAUAGGGCAAAAACACAAGGUUUAAAUUUAUUUAGUAAAUGAAUGAAAUCAUGUUUUUUAUUGAUUAUGCUUCUGCAAUUCCAUUGUAUUAUAUUGUCCAUUGUUUUUAAUUGCAAAUGUAAGAGAGUCAAUCAUAGGGGCAACGUGGGACGGUAAAGUAAGGUUUGGCUUGGACAAAAGAGUUCUUAAGGCCUCAAUAGACUCAGCGAUUACUAGUCGUUCUUCCUUUUCUGUUUCCUGACGUAGAGCACAACCGUUUGCAGGAGAAGGGAUGGAGUAUUCACUUAUUAUGGCCCGAUGUGCAGCCACAUCAUAGCCAUGGGUAGUCUUUUUAACAGAAGGACGAGGUUUCAACAAAAUAGUUUUUCUGCUGCUAUGGCUAGGAGGGCGCAUAUUCGAACUAGGGUUUGUAACUGAAUUUUGAGCACUAUUAUGUGGUAAAUUUGAUUGUAUAUGUGGUUGUGACUUAACCAUAUCAGCAAACGAUUUCGAUAUAGCUGGGUGCAGUUUAACGGCUUCUCCAUAGGAGAUGCAGUUAUUUGCCAUACUGACUUUAAUUUCUUUUUGCCUUACAUGUUCUGGGCAUGACCUGUUUGUGGCAAAGUGAAAGCCAUUGCAUAAACAGCAAAUGGCAUCCUCCUCCUCCACUGCACAGGUAUUUCCAGGAUGCAUUUCCCCGCACUUGAAACAUUUAGGCUUCGAACGACAGUUAUUUUUGGUAUGUCCAAAUUUACAGCAUAAAAAGCAUUGAAUGGUAGGAAAAAUGUACAAUUCAACGGCAAGAGAGUUGUAGCAUGAAAAGACUCGUUUCGGUAAUACUUGACCGUCAAAUGUCAAUACAACUGUCUCUGAGGGUUGCCAGGUAACAGAACCGUUAACCACAACUCUGUGGUUCAAACGUCGUACUUUUAAUACUUUUCCACACCCCAUGGGCACGGAAAUGUUGGAAACUAUUUCCUCCUCCGACCACUGUGCUGGAAUACCUCGAACCAAGCCCAUACGGGUCACAGAAAACGACGGAAUGUAUGCGGUAAGAUUUUCUGAUUCAAGACACGUAUCAGUAACAAAUAAGUUUGCGUCAACGUAAUUUGAAAACGACAUCGCUAUACGUGUCCUACCAAUGCGCUUAACACUUCCAUUUAUAAUGUUUCUGAAGCCUUUUUUUAGUAAAAAUUUCCCAAAGGACACCGGGUGCAGAGAUGAUUUUGCAUCUGUUUGUUUCAUUUGUACGUGCACCGUGAAGGGAGCAACAUCGGAAGAUGAAAAUAAAUUCCUGCCAACCUUGGUAUUAGAAGAGUCAUUUUUUGUAUUUAAGUUAUCCGAAGAGUUUUUGGUAACCUGAAUGUUAGAGUUUGAAGGAGCUUGGGUUUCUUGUAUGAUGUUCUGACAAUCGCACGAAUAGUCCCCGCCAUUAUUUUUCCUUCUUUUUUUAUUACAUGUUUUGCAUCUUUUGUGA